rnacentral:rRNA from 1 species
CCUACGGGAGGCUGCAGUGGGGGAUAUUGCACAAUGGGGGGAACCCUGAUGCAGCGACGCCGCGUGGGUGAAGAAGCGCCUCGGCGCGUAAAGCCCUGUCAGCAGGGAAGAAAAUGACGGUACCUGAAGAAGAAGCCCCGGCUAACUACGUGCCAGCAGCCGCGGUAAUACGUAGGGGGCAAGCGUUAUCCGGAUUUACUGGGUGGAAAGGGGGCGCAGAGGGCGAUGCAAGCCAGGAGUGAAGGCCCGGGGCCCAACCCCGGGACUGCUCUUGGAACUGCGUGGCUGGAGUGCAGGAGGGGCAGGCGGAAUUCCUGGGGUAGCGGUGAAAUGCGUAGAUAUCAGGAGGAACACCGGUGGCGAAGGCGGCCUGCUGGACUGCAACUGACGUUGAGGCCCGAAAGCGUGGGGAGCAAACAGGAUUAGAUACCCGGGUAGUC